CCUGGACUGGCCAUUUAGACAGGCAGGCCCAGGACACUGCUCGGUGGGUCCCCGCAGCCCCUUGGUAACAGAAAUAGGUAAAUGAGCGGUAUCUGACAUGGAAAGACGCUCACGACACGUGCGGAUUUAAACUCUCUGUCAAUGACAAAACCCACAUGUAUACCUGACCCUGGCUGAAUGCGCCCACCCACCUGCUGCCCCGCCAGGCCCUCACCAGGAGAAGGAAGCGGUGAGGUGGAGGCCAGGAGCAGACAUGGGUGUGCAGGAGCGAUCGGGACCCCAGUUUCGGGGUGACAGGCCAGCCACAAAACCUGCCCCCGUGCUCUCCUCCCCGCAACGCUUCCCAAAUCAAGAAGGCAACACGGGUUUGGUGUUUUUCCCUCCCUCCUCUCAUCUGUAAAAUUGAGACAUUACAGCUCCGAAAUGGGCUUUGAGCCUGUAGAAAUUAAUCCGGUUUGGCAGGAGGUCUGCAAAUAAACAUAUUGUUUCGA